GGCACCAUGGCUUAGCUGGCUAAAGCAUCUGUUUUGUAAACAGGAGAACCUGGGUUUCAACUCCCAGUGGUGCCA